rnacentral:rRNA from 1 species
UGAAACAUCUAAGUACCCGGAGGAGAAGAAAACAAAAGUGAUUCCGCUAGUAGUGGCGAGCGAACGCGGAAUAGCCCAAACCAAUGUUGUUACGGCAAUAUUGGGGUUGUAGGACCACGAUAUUUAAUGCUUAGAGAAUUAGAACUGUUUGGAAAGACAGACCAGAGAGGGUGAUAGUCCCGUAUAGGUAAAUUAAGUUAUUGAUAGUGGUAUCCUGAGUAGUGCGGGACACGUGUAAUCCUGUAUGAAUUUGGCGGGACCAUCCGCUAAGGCUAAAUACUCCUGAGAGACCGAUAGUGAACUAGUACCGUGAGGGAAAGGCGAAAAGAACCCCGGUGAGG